GCUUUCCACUACGGCAUUUGUGCAAAAAUGAAAAUGGAACUGGAUAACGGACAAUGAUACUUGGAUAUACCAAUAUGCAAUUCUCGUCUUCUUUACAUAGUGCGAAAUUUAUAUUCUUUGACUGUAGAAUCAAGAAAACCCUUCAGUUAAACAAGAAAAAGCUGAAACUUGAUGAAUAAAUUAAUACACACCUUAAAACUAACGUUGACUUAGUUUUGUUGAGAUUUUGAAAAUUUGCAUGGUUACAUAUAAUUAUUCUACUCUACAGUAUAAGGGUUCAUAUAAUUUGUAUUUUAUAUAGUUGAGAUUAGAAAUGCAUUCUAAUUUAGUUUUUGGGUGAUAAUUAAGAAUGAUGUAGUACGUAAUACAAGUAUAUUAAAAUAGAUUCAAGCAUAUCAAUUUGAAAACGAACAGCAGUUAUGUUAUAGUAGCAUAGGCAUAUACUGCAUGAAUAAAUCAGACUAGAAGACACGAUCUUAAUUUCGUUUUGAUAUAACUCUUGAUUUAGACUGAUAUAAACUUAUAUUGAUUUGUUUGAUUGGAAAUAAUGUAAUGGUAAUAAUAAUUGUAAUGUGAAAGAAUGUUUUAGUAAAGAACCUGUAUACGUAUUAAAAGUAUAAAUUAUUUUCGAAAUGCCAAACCUGUUCCACUGGGAAAUAAGAAACACUUCAUGGUGUAAAAUUGGUAUAUAACUUAUUUGAAAAAAGGGUGGAAACCCAAAUUCCAAAGAUUGAUGCGUUUCUAUAAAAGCGUAAAACUUUAUAGAACACAUAGAAAAUAUAAGAAC
rnacentral:lncRNA from 1 species